CAGUAACGGCGAGUGAAGCGGCAACAGCUCAAAUUUGAAAUCUGGCUCCUUCGGGGUCCGAAUUGUAAUUUGUAGAGAGUGCUUCGGGCGAGACCUCGGUCUAAGUCCAUUGGAACAUGGUGUCAUAGAGGGUGAGAAUCCCGUAUGCGACCGUGGCUCGAGCCCAUGUGAAGCCUCUUCGACGAGUCGAGUUGUUUGGGAAUGCAGCUCAAAACGGGUGGUAAAUUUCAUCUAAAGCUAAAUACUGGCUGGAGACCGAUAGCGCACAAGUAGAGUGAUCGAAAGAUGAAAAGCACUUUGGAAAGAGAGUCAAACAGUACGUGAAAUUGUUGAAAGGGAAGCGCUUGCAACCAGACCUGCCCGUAGGCGAUCAGCCGCUGUUCUCAGCGGUGCACUCGCUCUGCGAUCAGGCCAGCAUCGGUUUCGGCGGUCGGAUAAAGGCCGUGGGAAUGUAGCUUCCCUUCGGGGGAGUCUUAUAGCCCUCGGUGCAAUGCGGCCAGCCGGGACCGAGGACCGCGCUUCGGCUAGGAUGCUGGCGUAAUGGUUGUAAGCGACCCGUCUUGAAACACGGACCAAGGAGUCUAACAUCUAUGCGAGUGUUUGGGUGUCAAACCCAUACGCGGAAUGAAAGUGAACGGAGGUGAGAACCCUCAAGGGCGCAUCAUCGACCGAUCCAGAUGUCUUCGGAUGGAUUUGAGUAUGAGCAUAGCUGUUGGGACCCGAAAGAUGGUGAACUAUGCCUGAAUAGGGUGAAGCCAGAGGAAACUCUGGUGGAGGCUCGCAGCGGUUCUGACGUGCAAAUCGAUCGUCAAAUUUGGGUAUAGGGGCGAAAGACUAAUC
rnacentral:rRNA from 1 species